UUGCGCUGCGGGUAGAAGGUUGACCAGGAGAUGAGGCAUUGGCAGGAUGUCUGUCUGCACAGAGAGAAGCAUUUGAAUGAACUUCAUUGACAGUUUAUGUGAUGGAUGGGAAGUUUUUCUCGAAGGAGCUGCGGGACCAGAUAGGACACCACAUAUUUUACAGUCUGACCAUAUCAGAUGCAAAGCUAACCCAGAAACACUGCCUCAGGAAAGACAGGGGCACUGGGCAGCCAUCCUCACGCCUCCUCUCUCUGCCCCAGACACACAGCCAAGGACCGGAGGAGAGAAAAGGUGUGUGUGGCUUUCCCAGAAAACACCCUGGAGAUGUGUGCAGAGUUCAAACCAGGAGUGUUGAGGUCAGAGUUCAAACCAGGACUGUUGAGAUCUGUUCUCACACCAAUAUGCUGCAUUCGUCAUCAUCUGGAGCUAAGUAGAAGACACCAAAAGAGGCAGUGUGCUUGAGUGUGUGUGUUUGUGUGUGUGUAUAUGUGUGUGUGCGCGUGUGCAUACAUGUAAAAGAAAGCGCGCGAGAGAGUGUGGGAGUGCGUGAAUGACUGAGCGAGUGAGAGGCUGAGACUGUGACUGGGAAAGAGAGAGAAAGAGAGAGAGAGUUUGAGGAUGGUAAACCCAGCAAUGUGUCAUACAGUCUAACAACCCUGUUUUCUGACAUACAGGAACAUAUGUUCUUUCAACAUACAGAGCUGCCCAGCCAGAAACAGAUCUCACCAUCUACCAAGAACACCCACAUACACCCCCAUAAAUAACACCCACAUACACCCCCAUAAAUAACACCCACAUACACCCCCAUAAAGAAUACCCACAUACACCCCCAUAAAGAACACCCACAUACACCCCCAUAAAGAACACCCACACACACCCCCAUAAAGAACACCCAAAUACACCCCCAUAAAGAAUACCCACAUAAACCCCCAUAAAGAAUACCCACACACACCCCCAUAAAGAACACCCACAUACACCCCCAUAAAGAACACCCACAUACACCCCCAUAAAGAAUACCCACAUACACCCCCAUAAAGAACACCCACAUACACCCCCAUAAAGAACACCCACAUACACCCCCAUAAAGAAUACCCACAUAAACCCCCAUAAAGAUUACCCACAUACACCCCCAUAAAGAACACCCACAUACACCCCCAUAAAGAAUACCGACAUACACCCCCAUAAAGAAUACCCACAUACACCCCCAUAAAGAACACCCACAUGCACCCCCAUAAAGAACACCCACAUACACCCCCAUAAAGAACACCCACAUACACCUCAUAAAGAAUACCCACAUAUACCCCCAUAAAGAAUACCCACAUACACCCCCAUAAAGAACACCCACAUACACCCCCAUAAAGAACACCCACAUACACGCCCAUAAAUAACACCUAUAUACACCCCCACAAAGAACACCCAUAUACACCCCCAUAAAUAACACCUAUAUACACCCCCAUAAAGAACACCCAUAUACACCCCCAUAAAGAACACCCAUUUAAGCACCCUUUUCUCUGCUAUCUCCAGCAGGACCUUCAUGAUUUGGAGUUGGAACCUCAUAAGAAGAGGCUGUGAUCUCUCCGUACAGUAUUACCAAUCCAGUGGAAUAUCAUCUGUGAUUGCCAAAUUUCAAACACACCAUUCAAAAUGUUGUGAAGGGAUGUUUGCACUGAACGGGCCAAAAUAAGCAAAAGGGAGAUUUUUACUGUAAUAAACCAAGUUGGGCAAA